rnacentral:rRNA from 1 species
UGCGCAGGCGGUUUUGUAAGACAGUGGUGAAAUCCCCGGGCUCAACCUGGGAACUGCCAUUGUGACUGCAAGGCUGGAGUGCGGCAGAGGGGGAGUGGAAUUCCGCGUGUAGCAGUGAAAUGCGUAGAUAUGCGGAGGAACACCGAUGGCGAAGGCAAUCCCCUCGGGCCUGCACUGACGCUCAUGCACGAAAGCGUGGGGAGCAAACA